rnacentral:rRNA from 1 species
UACGUAGGGUGCAAGCGUUGUCCGGAAUUAUUGGGCGUAAAGAGCUCGUAGGCGGUCUGUCGCGUCUGCUGUGAAAACUCGGGGCUUAACCCCGGGCCUGCAGUGGGUACGGGCAGACUAGAGUCUGGUAGGGGGAUCUGGAAUUCCUGGUGUAGCGGUGGAAUGCGCAGAUAUCAGGAGGAACACCGGUGGCGAAGGCGGGAUCCUGGGCCAGUACUGACGCUGAGGAGCGAAAGCGUGGGGAGCAAACAGG